rfam:Sphingopyxis sp. Root1497 contig_3, whole genome shotgun sequence.
GCCCUUUCCAAGCGCGGGCGGGCUUCCUAUAUGCACGCUGUCGGUUUCGGCCGACUAUGGUGAUAAAUGGUGCCGUGUAAUAGACACAGCGGACCCGGGGGCAGUACCCGGCGGCUCCACCACAAACCCGACGAUCCGCAAGGAAGAUCGGGUUUCUGACGGGGCCGAACUAGGAUCGACGUGUGUUCAAAGACGGUGUUUUUGCCCGGGCUGAGUAACCCGUUCAAGGCUCAAAACCAAUAGGUGCUAACGAUAACGAAGCACUCGCUCUGGCUGCGUAACCGAUAAGCCUCACGGCCUAAGGUUAUUCAAAUAGAACGCGGUUCGGACCGAACCGGGCAACAGAAUCGGAUACC